rnacentral:lncRNA from 1 species
GAAUAUCUCAUGCAAACUGAACCUGAGAAAUUGGUCUUUCAGCGCUUAUUUGUUUUUAAUAAUACAUUUUAUUUGAAACAUCCAAACAUUUAUAUAAUGUAUAUUGAUGAUAUCUUCCCAUAAAACAAAAUAAACAAAUCUUAAAAAACAAAAACAAAAACAAAAAACUAACCCUAAGCUUUAGAUGUGACCUGACUAAUCCCUGCCAAAUUUUAAAGAUACCGAGACUGAAUUUUGAGAGUUCAAGUUUCAGGAUCAGCAGCUCCAUCAGAAACCCAACAACCAUGUCCCUGGUUCAUUGUCUCUAUAAGAACUGUAUUUUUAGACGUUAUUAUAGACACGUAAAUACUCUGACAUUAAAUAAAUACACCCAUCCCUCUACCUGAACAGUUUCAUUCUCCAAGUGAAAAUACAGGAAUAUAUAUGUCCUGAGAAUUUUUCUAAAAUUCUGAAAAAAAAAGGUUUUCUAAAAUCUUAAAUGAGCAUUUUGUUUAAUCUGUUGUAAAUUACAAAAAAAACAAACAAACUAUGAUUUGAAGAAAGAUGAGUAAAAUCAGAUGAGGAAGGAAAACUUUAUAUUUAAAACAAAAUCUUCCUUUAAAAAUAUGUGUGGGAGUGCGUGCUUAUGUUUGGCCCUUUAUCCUUGACACAUCUCAGCAUAGAAGAGCGUAUAAAAAAAGCCUCUUGCUUUGCUGAGAAAUGAAGGAUGUUCUGAUUUGAUCAGAUUUUUAGUAAUAAAGUAAUCUAGGUAAAAAGUUGACGGUUUUGCUGUUAUUAGUACAGCAGAAAAACAGGUAUAUCCUUCAAGUUCUCACUAAUUAUGGUUUUAUACUAUUUCUUCAAGGUGUUGAGUGGUGUCACUUAUGAACAGGGACAGGCUGUGAGGAUUGGCCCGAAGGAAUCCACAGGAGGAAGGAAAGCAGGAAGUCCCAUCAGAAUCUGCUUAGCUCCCUGGGAAAGGGGACAGAGAGUGAAGACAGGUCAAACACAAGCCCAUAGGGUGCCCAAAACCCAUAGAUGAUAAAAACUGAGAUGAUGUCAGCCUUAUAUUUGCCCUAGAUUUUUUCUUCCUUUUCUAGGAUGAAGAGUAAUAAGGCUGAAGGCGUUUGUACAGAUCUUAGCUAAUUUUUAUAAAUCAACCCUUCAGUCUUUACUUUUCAUAAUAAUUUUAUUUUUUCUCAGUAAUUUUAAACAAAGUUUAGAUGAAUGUUUUUUAGACCGAAUAGUUCUUACUGUUCAUUUCUCUCGCAGACUUAGAAUUUUCUGAAUACUUUUUACGGAAUACCCCUUUUAUACUUUAACUGGACACCCUUUCUAGUUUGUCGCAGUUGCAAUUUAUUGACAUGACAAAAGUGAACUUUGUUCAUUUUAUUUCUGAAAAUUGCUUUUCCUUAUAUUUAAAGUGAAAUGAAAUUGAGCUGAAAACAGCAAAAUCUUAUUACUGUGCCAGUCAGAAGCCAGGAAUAUUUGAUAGGGAUCUCUUAAGAAAAAUAUCAGUGUGGGAAGCAGAUAGGCCAACUGUAGAUACAAGAGGGAGAUCUCCUCUCCCUCAGCUCCCCCAAGUCCAGGGCCCCAGCCUCAGUCCCAAGACUGCACUGGAUGACCUUGCUGUGGUCUCCCUUCUCCGCCACCCCCAUCUGCAGCAGAUCAUACAAAUCUUCCCUCAAACAUCUGUCCUUACUCUCCCUGCCCCCAGGCCCAGCACGCACGCCACCAGAGCCAGGGAAGCCUAUAGCAAACAGGCAGGGGCAGAUCUUCACCUCCUCCAAAUGAUCCCCAGCUCUGCAGCAGACUGCUAGCUGCUGCCACCUUCUCCACUCCCCACCAUCUGUGGAUCGCACAGAUCGAACCCUCCUAACUUCCUGCACUCCCUGGAAACACGUUGCUAAGGGAAACAGGUAGACUAGUGUAGCUCCUCACCUCUUCCUUAUCUCCUCCAAAUCUGAUCCCCCAGGCUCGUUCCCACCACUGUAACACACCACUACCCACUACCGUGGCCUUUCCAUCCACAUCCCUGCUACUCCCAUCACCAAGGGGUCACAUAGAUCUUCCCCUCCCGAUUCCCUGCCUCACACAUUGCUUUAUUCCAGCUCACAGACCCAGCUGGCAUUUCUCGGGGUCCACAGGCUACUCUACCAGGAAAGCAGGUAGCAUAGCUGCAGAUCUUCACCUUUUCCUCCUCCAGUCCUCAAAAUCCAAUUCCCCAUUCGAAUCCCCAGCUCUGUAGCAGACUUUCUGCUGUCAUCCUUCUUCUCUCUCUGUCCCCUUUCCCAGGAAACUAAGCGGAUUCUGAUGGAACAUCCUGCUUUCCUUCCUCCUGUGGAUUCCUUCGGCCCGAUCCACAUAGCCCGUCUCUGUUCCUAUAUGUCACCACUCAAUACCUAGAAACAUAUUUGACCAAGAGCCCCCCAGUAGCCACACCUAUCAGGAUCCCCCCAAAAAAUGUCCAACCCAGCACCACACAGUCACCACCUACUCACAAGAACCAGACCACAACCAAAGCCAAGGAACAAAACACCUACUCAACAAAGAUAAGAGCAGAUAUCAGCACCAAGAAUUACAGUGUUCCUAAACCCAGAUGCCUAGAUGCCGGCAUAAAAUCACAUUAACAGCUAGGACAAUAUGUUUCAAUUAGAGCCCAGCAACUCUACCACAGCAGGCCCUGCCUGGGCAUUGUGCUAUAGCUGACGCACAAUAAAAGACCUUAAAAUAGGCUUUAUGAAUAUGAAAGAGGUCCUUAAAUAGGAAAUGAAAAAAUGCUUUAAAGAAUUCUUAUGAAAAACUGUUGAAGGAAAUGAAUAAUACUUAUUCAGGACCUGAAUGUGAUAAUAGAAUC